rnacentral:rRNA from 2 species
CGGAACAACACAGGGAAACUUGUGCUAAUACCGGAUAAGCCCUUACGGGGAAAGAUUUAUCGCCGAAAGAUCGGCCCGCGUCUGAUUAGCUAGUUGGUGAGGUAAUGGCUCACCAAGGCGACGAUCAGUAGCUGGUCUGAGAGGAUGAUCAGCCACAUUGGGACUGAGACACGGCCCAAACUCCUACGGGAGGCAGCAGUGGGGAAUAUUGGACAAUGGGCGCAAGCCUGAUCCAGCCAUGCCGCGUGAGUGAUGAAGGCCCUAGGGUUGUAAAGCUCUUUUGUGCGGGAAGAUAAUGACGGUACCGCAAGAAUAAGCCCCGGCUAACUUCGUGCCAGCAGCCGCGGUAAUACGAAGGGGGCUAGCGUUGCUCGGAAUCACUGGGCGUAAAGGGUGCGUAGGCGGGUCUUUAAGUCAGGGGUGAAAUCCUGGAGCUCAACUCCAGAACUGCCUUUGAUACUGAAGAUCUUGAGUUCGGGAGAGGUGAGUGGAACUGCGAGUGUAGAGGUGAAAUUCGUAGAUAUUCGCAAGAACACCAGUGGCGAAGGCGGCUCACUGGCCCGAUACUGACGCUGAGGCACGAAAGCGUGGGGAGCAAACAGGAUUAGAUACCC